AGCUCAGCUCAGCUGGUUAGGGCAUGGUGCUGACAGCACCAAGGUUUUGGGUUUGAUCCCCAUAUGGGCCA